rnacentral:rRNA from 1 species
AGUGGCGGACGGGUGAGUAACACGUGGGUGACCUGCUCUUUGGUGAGGAAUACCGGCGAGAAAUCGCCGACAAUACCGCAUACGCUCUUACGCAAAGCUUCGCCAGAGAAUGGGCCUGCGUCCGAUUAGCUAGUUGGUAGGGUAAUGGCCUGCCAAGGCGACGAUCGGUAGCUGGUCUGAGAGGACGAUCAGCCACACUGGGAUUGAGAACGGCCCAGACUCCUACGGGAGGCAGCAGUGAGGAAUUUUCGGCAAUGGGCGCAAGCCUGACCGAGCAACGCCGCGUGCCGGAAGACGCUUUUCGGAGUGUAAACUGCUUUUAUCGGGGAAGAUAGACGGUACCCGAUGAAGAAGCCC